rnacentral:piRNA from 1 species
UACUAGGGAUUGACCCAGGGUUUCCCAUGU